ACAUGCUAUAUCCGUGUGUUUCCAGGUCAUAGCGUGUGUGUGUGGUUGUGUGUGAGAGGUUAUGUAUUGUCUGUAAAACAUGCUAUAUCCGUGUGUUUCCAGGUGAUAGCGUGUGUGUGUGGUUGUGUGUGAGAGGUUAUGUAUUGUCUGUAAAACAUGCUAUAUCCGUGUGUUUCCAGGUCAUAGCGUGUGUGUGUGGUUGUGUGUGAGAGGUUAUGUAUUGUCUGUAAAACAUGCUAUAUCCGUGUGUUUCCAGGUCAUAGCGUGUGUGUGUGGUUGUGUGUGAGAGGUUAUGUAUUGUCUGUAAAACAUGCUAUAUCCGUGUGUUUCCAGGUCAUAGCGUGUGUGUGUGGUUGUGUGUGAGAGGUUAUGUAUUGUCUGUAAAACAUGCUAUAUC